GCAAUUUAUACCGUGAAACUGCGAAUGGCUCAUUAAAUCAGUUAUCGUUUAUUUGAUAAUACCUUACUACUUGGAUAACCGUGGUAAUUCUAGAGCUAAUACAUGCUGAAAAUCCCGACUUCGGAAGGGAUGUGUUUAUUAGAUAAAAAACCAAUGCCCUUCGGGGCUUUUUGGUGAUUCAUGAUAACUUUACGGAUCGCAUAGCCUUGCGCUGGCGACGGUUCAUUCAAAUUUCUGCCCUAUCAACUUUCGAUGGUAAGGUAUUGGCUUACCAUGGUUUCAACGGGUAACGGGGAAUUAGGGUUCGAUUCCGGAGAGGGAGCCUGAGAAACGGCUACCACAUCCAAGGAAGGCAGCAGGCGCGCAAAUUACCCAAUCCCGACACGGGGAGGUAGUGACAAUAAAUACUGAUACAGGGCUCUUUUGGGUCUUGUAAUUGGAAUGAGUACAAUUUAAACCUCUUAACGAGGAACAAUUGGAGGGCAAGUCUGUGGCCA
rnacentral:rRNA from 1 species